rnacentral:rRNA from 1 species
UACGUAGGGGGCAAGCGUUUGUCCGGAUUUAUUGGGCGUAAAGAGCUCGUAGGUGGUUCGGUAAGUCGGAUGUGAAAUCUCCAGGCUCAACCUGGAGGGGUCAUUCGAUACUGCCGUGACUAGAGUUCGGUAGGGGAGUGUGGAAUUCCUGGUGGAGCGGUGAAAUGCGUAGAGAUCAUGAGGAAGACCAGUGGCGAAGGCGGGUCUCUGGACAGUUUCCUGACGCUGAGGCGCGAAAGCGUGGGGGAGCAAACAGG